AACGAACGCUGGCGGCAUGCCUAACACAUGCAAGUCGAACGAUGCCUUCGGGCAUAGUGGCGCACGGGUGCGUAACGCGUGGGAAUCUGCCCUUCGGUUCGGAAUAACUCAGGGAAACUUGAGCUAAUACCGGAUAAUGACGUAAGUCCAAAGAUUUAUCGCCGAAGGAUGAGCCCGCGUAGGAUUAGGUAGUUGGUGGGGUAAUGGCCCACCAAGCCGACGAUCCUUAGCUGGUCUGAGAGGAUGAUCAGCCACACUGGGACUGAGACACGGCCCAGACUCCUACGGGAGGCAGCAGUGGGGAAUAUUGGACAAUGGGCGAAGGCCUGAUCCAGCAAUGCCGCGUGAGUGAUGAAGGCCUUAGGGUUGUAAAGCUCUUUUACCAGGGAUGAUAAUGACAGUACCUGGAGAAUAAGCUCCGGCUAACUCCGUGCCAGCCGCCGCCGUAACAC
rnacentral:rRNA from 1 species